AGCGCGGCCGACCGCCUCUAAUAUUACUAUGGCUCGGAAAGAUAAAAACAUGGAAUAAUCAUAAGUGUGUUAACUGAUGGAUUUUAAUGUCGUUGGCAGUCAGUUCAAGGACCCCUUCGAUCCUCGGUUGUAGAAGUUGUUAAAGGACCACAACGGAAUAUGCAACGUGACACCGGAAUUCAGCUAAUGGCGGAGGCUUGUACCAUUACCCCAUGUAACGCGAGCUGUAUUGCCAGUAUGUGCAUCUCAGACAACCACUUUCAAUUACAUUAUGGGAGUGGCUGAAACUCUACACGUUAGGGGGGCUAUUUGGUGACGUUUCGUUAAAGUCAAUAUAUUCAUUUCGGUAAUUUACAUAUAUGAAUGACCAAAGAUUUGAAAUUAUACAUGGUAAUACUAUAAGAUAUUAA